rnacentral:tRNA from 2 species
GCGGGAGUAACUCAGUGGUAGAGUGUCACCUUGCCAAGGUGAACGUCGCGGGUUCAAGUCCCGUCUCCCGCUCCA